rnacentral:rRNA from 1 species
GUGCCAGCAGCCGCGGUAAUACGAAGGGGGCAAGCGUUAUUCGGAUUUAUUGGGCGUAAAGGGCGUGUAGGCGGCUCGGCAAGUCUGGUGUGAAAACGCUACCGCUCAACGGAGCGAAUGCGCUGGAAACUGCCGAACUUGAGUGUGAGAGAGGCGGGCAGAAUACCUGGUGUAGCGGUGGAAUGCUUAGAGAUCAGGUAGAAUACCCGAGGCGAAGGCGGCCCGCUGGCUCACUACUGACGCUAAGGCGCGAAAGCGUGGGGAUCAAACGGGAUUAGAUACCCCGGUAGUCC